AGCAGCACCGGCGUCUUUUCCAUUGGACAUGUUCUCUCCGGGCUGCGACACCUGCUAGGGCCAGGGUCGGUUGUCACAAACACGCCGGAGCCCACCGAGGCGCAUCGACCACUUCUCCGCACCUUAAAACCAAACUCCACGAUGAGGUCGCGUCGGGUGUCAAGGAAUUCACCCCUGUGUGUGUGAGGAAGUUAAGAAGUGGCGAACUUAAAACUCCUCCUCUGCUUCCAUCGACACGCACACUUUGAGGAAGGCAAAUGAAGUGGGAGGAGAACCUCGGCUGUGGACAACGUCACCGGCCCUGCGUGCUCCGGUCCAACCGGCUGCUGUGCUCGGUGCUUGCCGGGUCACAACGUUACGGUGGCUGGGACGGGCGACAAGAAAAUCGUCAUCGGUCGAAGUGAUCGCAAAGUGUCAUUCAUGCAAAUGCGAAAAAAUGCCAAGGAACAAAAUGUGUGACUUGCUACUUUAUAUCGACUCGGAUUUUUUUUUAGUAAGUAAAUAGUAAAUAAAAUUGAGGUGACUGUUAGUUGUUGACUUGCAUUCAGGCCAUUAGAUUUGUAUUGUGUGACUUCUACUAUCACGCAACACUCAAAUGGCUCACUAGAUGACUCCAAAGACCAGUGUAAGAAUUUUCUCAAAUUAACCUGAGAACUUUUUGUUGAGUAUUCUAUCUCAGUAAGAAACGUAUAGCAUGCUGCAUGGUGAAUGACUGGUUAACACUUCUGCCUCACAGUUCUGAGGCCCUUGGGUUCAAAUCCCAGCCCUGCCUGUGUGAAGUUUGCAUGUUCUCCCCGUGCCUAGGUGAGUGUUCUGUGCAUGGGCACGUUGAUUUCCUCCCAAAUCUUAAAAAGUUAAAAAAAAAAAAAAAAAAAAAACGCGCGGUAGGUUGAAUGAAAACUAAAUUGUGAGUGGUUGUUUGUUUAUGUGUGUGCCCUGCGAUUGAACGGUCUUAGAGUUGCAACCCCCACCUCCCUACAAAACCACCACUGUUCCGCAUGUUUUUACUUUGUUUAGGUUGUCACUCUCGCCAGACAAAAGUUGAUUUCCUGUAAGUUUUAUACAAACAUCACCUCAAAGAAACCAGCUUAAACAUGGA